CUAGACUCCUACGGGAGGCAGCAGUGGGGAAUAUUGGGCAAUGGGCGCAAGCCUGACCCAGCAACGCCGCGUGAAGGAAGAAGGCUUUCGGGUUGUAAACUUCUUUUAUUCGGGACGAAGCAAGUGACGGUACCGAAUGAAUAAGCCACGGCUAACUCCGUGCCAGCAGCCGCGGUAAUACGGAGGAUGCGAGCGUUAUCCGGAUUUAUUGGGUUUAAAGGGUGCGUAGGCGGAAUGCCAAGUCAGCGGUAAAAUCGCGGGGCUCAACCUCGCUCCGCCGUUGAAACUGGCGUUCUUGAGUGGGCGAGAAGUAUGCGGAAUGCGUGGUGUAGCGGUGAAAUGCAUAGAUAUCACGCAGAACUCCGAUUGCGAAGGCAGCAUACCGGCGCCCAACUGACGCUGAAGCACGAAAGCGUGGGUAUCGAACAGGAUUAGAUACCCCGGUACGU
rnacentral:rRNA from 1 species